UCCGAAGGGGGCUAGCGUUGCUCGGAAUCACUGGGCGUAAAGCGCACGUAGGCGGACUCUUAAGUCAGGGGUGAAAUCCUGGAGCUCAACUCCAGAACUGCCUUUGAUACUGGGAGUCUUGAGUUCGGGAGAGGUGAGUGGAACUGCGAGUGUAGAGGUGAAAUUCGUAGAUAUUCGCAAGAACACCAGUGGCGAAGGCGGCUCACUGGCCCGAUACUGACGCUGAGGUGCGAAAGCGUGGGGAGCAAACAGG
rnacentral:rRNA from 1 species